rnacentral:rRNA from 1 species
UUCGCAAUGCCCGAAAGGGUGACGAAGCGACGCCGCGUGUGGGAAGAAGGCCUUCGGGUUGUAAACCACUGUCGGGAGUUAAGAAAUGCAAGGAUAUUAAUAGUGUCUUUGUUUGACUAAGGCUCCGGAGGAAGCCACGGCUAACUCUGUGCCAGCAGCCGCGGUAAUACAGAGGCGGCAAGCGUUGUUCGGAAUUAUUGGGCGUAAAGAGCACGUAGGCGGCUAUGUAAGUCGGUUGUGAAAGCCUUCCGCUCAACGGAAGAACAGCAUCCGAUACUACAUGGCUUGAGUGCGGGAGGGGAGAGUGGAACUUCUGGUGGAGCGGUGAAAUGCGUAGAUAUCAGAAGGAACGCCGGCGGCGAAAGCGGCUCUCUGGCCCGUAACUGACGCUGAGUGUGCGAAAGCUAGGGGAGCAAACGGGAUUAGAUACCCCGGUAGUCCUAGCCGUAAACGAUGGGCACUAAGUAGAGGGGUUUU